GCCUAGUUAGCUUAGUUGGUAGUGCGUCUGCCUUGUAAGUUGUAAGCGCUAGGCCGCGGGUUCGAUUCCCGCCCGGGGCG
rnacentral:tRNA from 1 species